GACAGAGGCCUCAAGCGUUAGGCGGAAUCACUGGGCUUAAAGCGUGUGUAGGCGGGUCGUUAAGUACCUUGUGAAAUCCCACGGCUCACCCGUGGAACUGCUGGGUAUGACUGGGCGAUCUUGGGCCAACUAGGGGCAAACUGGAACAAGCGGUGGAGCGGUGAAAUGCGUAGAUAAUCGCUUGGAACGCCAAAGGUGAAAACAGGUUGCUGGGG
rnacentral:rRNA from 1 species